GAUCCUGGCUCAGAUUGAACGCUGGCGGCGAUGCCUUACACAUGCAAGUCGAACGGCAGCGGGGGAGGCUUGCUCCUGCCGGCGAGUGGCGAACGGGUGAGUAAUGCAUCGGAACGUGUCCUGUUGUGGGGGAGUAACUGAUCGAAAGAUCAGCUAAUACCGCAUGAGACCUGAGGGUGAAAGCGGGGGAUCGAAAGACCUCGCGCGACAGGAGCGGCCGAUGU
rnacentral:rRNA from 1 species